rnacentral:lncRNA from 1 species
CCUGCACAGUGUUCACAUCACAGCAGGUUGGAAAUGAAUAGUUCAUAGGGUCAUCUUGGUGGUGACAGCAGUGUGAUAAGUACUACAAUGUAGAAACCCAGAGAGGCUAGUGGGGCACGGAUGAAUAUCACUGCCUUGCAAGUCUAGUGGUCAAGCAGUACAAGAGAGCUUCUUGGAGAAGUCAUGUCUAGACUGACACUGACAGGUCCCAGACCUUCGUGGUGUGGAUUUGAGGGAUGAGCCAGAUUUCCAGCAAGAGCAGGACACCUAGUUCCCACCUGUGGGGCCCACAGUGAAAGAAAUGGAAAAGUGAAAUGAAGAGAAGAGAUGCGCACUGAACCUCACCAGAGAAUGUGCACAAAUGCACUCAGUGAG